rnacentral:rRNA from 1 species
CCUACGGGAGGCUGCAGUCGAGAAUCUUGCACAAUGGGCGAAACCCUGAUGCAGCGACGCCGCGUGGGGGAAUGAAGUUCUUCGUAUCGUAAACCCCUGUAAUGGGGGAGCAAAGUCAAAAGAUCGUACCACAAGAGGUAGACACGGCUAACUCUGGGCCAGCAGCUGCGGUAAGACAGAGGGCUCAAGAGUGGUUCGGAAUCACUGGGCGUAAUGCGUGCGUAGGCUGUUUCGCACGUCGAGUGUGAAAGGCCCGGGCUCAACCCGCGGACGGCCGUUGAUACUGGGAGACUCGAGUAAGGGAGGGGGAAGCGGAAUUCGCGGUGUAGCAGUGAAAUGCGUAGAUAUCGAGAGGAACACUCGUGGCGAAGGCGGGUUCCUGGACAUUAACUGACGCUGAGGCACGAAGGCGAGGGGAGCGAAAGGGAUUAGAUACCCCAGUAGUC